UACCACACCAAGCUUUUCAUUGCCGCAAACAGCCAGAGGCUCUGGAUAAAAAGUUGUGGCUUAUAUCAAAGUAUUUCCAUAGCGAUUAAACUG
rnacentral:snoRNA from 1 species